CUCAUACCGCCACUCGCUUUUUUUGUUGUUGUCCUGCUAAGUGUGAACACGAGAGAGUCCAGCGCAGUCCAACAUGCGUACCCAGACGUUUCCUCAGCAACUUCGUGCACCAGGAAUGGUGCCACACCUGGCAAAUGGCGCUGCUGCCCCCGCUGCGCCGCAGGUGCCAGCUAUUCACGAGCACACGGAUGUCAUUCAUGACACGCAGUUCGACUACUAUGGUCUGCAGCUCGCCACUGCCAGCUCCGAUAGAACGAUCGGCAUUCACGUCGCCCGGGCGGGUGCCCCGUUGAACCGCGUGGCAACUCUUACUGGCCAUGAGGGCCCUGUGUGGAUGGUUAGCUGGGCGCACCCGCGCUUCGGCAAUCUUCUCGCCUCUGCCUCGUACGAUCAGAAAGCGAUAAUUUGGAAAGAGAUCCACCAAGGUGCACCUAAGUGGACUCCUGUGCAUGUCAUCGACAUCCACCAAGGCAGCGUAAACGCGGUGCAGUGGGCGCCCGAGGAAUACGGCCCGGUCGUUGCCACCGCCAGCAGCGACGGCACCGUUGCCAUCACCACAUACCGUGACGGUUGCUGGCAGCCCAGCGUGAAGUUAAGCAACAAUAGCAACCAAAUCGCGCACGCGAUGGGGGCAACGAGCGUAACGUUCGCGCCAUUCAAGUCGGAGCUGGUCGACCACGUAGUGGUUGCAUCUGGCGGCUGCGACGGCCACGUGCGCCUGUGGGUAUCUGCGAGCUCCCCAGAGCGCGGCUUGGGGUUUGAACUGCAUCAGGUGAUCGAAGCGCACGCGGACUGGGUUCGCGAUGUUGCAUUCUGCCCUACAUCCCCAGCAUCCCGCUUCGUGAUCCUUGCGUCGUGCGGGCAGGAUAAGACAGUUGUCAUGUACCGGAAGCCGUGGGAUCAGCUGUGUGCGGAGAUCAGCGAGGGUGCCUCGCAGGCUACGGAAUGGGAGCGGAGUGUCAUCGAGUUUGCAGAGCCUGUCUGGAGGCUUUCUUGGGCCCCUUCGGGUGAGAUGCUCGUCGUGACAAACGCAAAGUCUGAGGUGUUUGUGCUUCGCGAAGGUGUCGACUUCACUGAACCGUGGAUUAAACUUCCUUUGAAGGACUUCCAGCAGUAGAGCAGUGCAGCUACAGACUUGCUGCUAGUGUCAACCAUUUUUUUUUCCUGUUCUCCCCUCCUUCUACUUCACCUUUUGGAGCUUUCGUGGCUUGCCAGCGCAACAACGGCUACAAGGACUCCCCUCAAGUGCAGAUUAUCUGGAGGGCAUGCCGAGGCGAUAAAGGACGGGCCACCCUGUUCUGUUCCUCAUUUUCGUUGAGUAGUGGUUGCGGUUGUGGUUGCUUCAGCCCUCCCUGUGCGCCCCGAUUCCCGCCUUCUUUCCUGAUUGUUUUUCCCCUGCGCGCAAUCGCUUUGCGUAUCGUUGGCUUCCAUCUCUAUAGGUGCAUGGGUGGUUGGCGGGGUGGAGCGACUAGAAACGACGGACUUUUGUUCGGUGUCGCAUGUGUGUGCGCGCGUGGGCCUGUGCGACUGGAACGGGUGCGCUUGGCUGCGUGCAUGCGUGUCCUUUCCCCGUGGAUAACUCUGUUUUUGUCAUUCAUCUCUCAGCGUGCAAUAGGAAGAAACGAAGCUGAUCUGUGCUACCGUAUUCCACACACGCACGCACCGCCGUUGAGGGAAGGAGAGGAAAAAAAACGCUGACGCGCUGUUGCGUGCUGUUUGCGUCAGCAGCCUUGGUGAUAACGGAGCGGGCAUCUACGGCCACAAGGGUUGGCACCUCUAUCUCGUAGUCCGGGGUUACUCGAUCAUUCCGGACUUCGCCCCGCCUUUCAUGUGUCUUCCCAGAGAAUG
rnacentral:misc_RNA from 1 species